AUUGAACGCUGGCGGCAUGCUUUACACAUGCAAGUCGAACGGUAACAGGGUGCUUGCACCGCUGACGAGUGGCGAACGGGUGAGUAAUGCGUCGGAACGUGCCGAGUAGUGGGGGAUAACGCAGCGAAAGUUGUGCUAAUACCGCAUACGUACUGAGGUAGAAAGUGGGGGACCUUCGGGCCUCACGCUAUUCGAGCGGCCGACGUCUGAUUAGCUAGUAGGUGAGGUAAAGGCUCACCUAGGCGACGAUCAGUAGCGGGUCUGAGAGGAUGAUCCGCCACACUGGGACUGAGACGCGGCCCAGACUCCUACGGGAGGCAGCAGUGGGGAAUUUUGGACAAUGGGCGAAAGCCUGAUCCAGCCAUGCCGCGUGUCUGAAGAAGGCCUUCGGGUUGUAAAGGACUUUUGUCAGGGAGGAAAUCCCCAGCGUUAAUACCGCUGGGGGAUGACAGUACCUGAAGAAUAAGCACCGGCUAACUACGUGCCAGCAGCCGCAGUAAGAC
rnacentral:rRNA from 1 species